rnacentral:rRNA from 1 species
UACGUGGAGUGCGAGCGUCAUCCGGAUUUACUGGGCGUAAAGCGUACCGUCGGUGACCUGGUAAGUUCUUUGUCCAAUCCUGAAGCUUAACUUCAGAAAGGCAGGGAAAACUACUAGGAUUGAGUCUGUUCGGGGAACUUGGAAUUCUCGGUGGAGGGGUGAAAUCCGUAGAUAUCGAGAGGAACGCCAAGCGCGAAGGCAGGGUUCUAGAACACGACUGACACUCAGGGACGAAAGCUAGGGGAGCAAAAGGG